rnacentral:RNase_P_RNA from 1 species
CGAGGCGGACGGGUGACCGCCGGCGAAGUGAAUAUCGUUGGAGGAAAGUCCGGGCUCCAAAGAGCAGGGCGCUGGGUAACACCCAGUCGGGGCGACCCGAAGGAAAGUGCCACAGAAAUGAACCGCCUGACAGCGUUGAUCUCCGGAGAGGCGCCGUCAGGUAAGGGUGAAAAGGUGGGGUAAGAGCCCACCGGCGGCCGGGUGACCGGCCGGCCAGGUAAACCCCGCCCGGAGCAAGACCAAAUAGGAGGACGUUUUAACGGCGGCUCGCCCAGUCCUCGGGUA